rnacentral:snoRNA from 1 species
NNNCAAAGUGUUGAGUUCAGUCAGGGCAGCUUCCCUGUUCUGUUAAUUAAACUUUGGGACAUUGAAACAGGCUACGGUUGCUGAUUGAGUGCAAAGCAUUACUGUGUUCAUUUACCUCCUAGCCUACAGAG